rnacentral:rRNA from 1 species
GGGGAAUAUUGCACAAUGGGGGAAACCCUGAUGCAGCAACGCCGCGUGAGUGAUGACGGUCUUCGGAUUGUAAAGCUCUGUCUUCAGGGACGAUAAUGACGGUACCUGAGGAGGAAGCCACGGCUAACUACGUGCCAGCAGCCGCGGUAAUACGUAGGUGGCAAGCGUUGUCCGGAUUUACUGGGCGUAAAGGGAGCGUAGGUGGAUAUUUAAGUGGGAUGUGAAAUACUCGGGCUUAACCUGGGUGCUGCAUUCCAAACUGGAUAUCUAGAGUGCAGGAGAGGAAAGUAGAAUUCCUAGUGUAGCGGUGAAAUGCGUAGAGAUUAGGAAGAAUACCAGUGGCGAAGGCGACUUUCUGGACUGUAACUGACACUGAGGCUCGAAAGCGUGGGGAGCAAAC